rnacentral:rRNA from 1 species
UUAAGCGACUAAGCGUACACGGUGGAUGCCCUGGCAGUCAGAGGCGAUGAAGGACGUGCUAAUCUGCGAUAAGCGUCGGUAAGGUGAUAUGAACCGUUAUAACCGGCGAUUUCCGAAUGGGGAAACCCAGUGUGUUUCGACACACUAUCAUUAACUGAAUCCAUAGGUUAAUGAGGCGAACCGGGGGAACUGAAACAUCUAAGUACCCCGAGGAAAAGAAAUCAACCGAGAUUCCCCCAGUAGCGGCGAGCGAACGGGGAGCAGCCCAGAGCCUGAAUCAGUGUGUGUGUUAGUGGAAGCGUCUGGAAAGGCGCGCGAUACAGGGUGACAGCCCCGUACACAAAAAUGCACAUGCUGUGAGCUCGAUGAGUAGGGCGGGACACGUGGUAUCCUGUCUGAAUAUGGGGGGACCAUCCUCCAAGGCUAAAUACUCCUGACUGACCGAUAGUGAACCAGUACCGUGAGGGAAAGGCGAAAAGAACCCCGGCGAGGGGAGUGAAAAAGAACCUGAAACCGUGUACGUACAAGCAGUGGGAGCACGCUUAGGCGUGUGACUGCGUACCUUUUGUAUAAUGGGUCAGCGACUUAUAUUCUGUAGCAAGGUUAACCGAAUAGGGGAGCCGAAGGGAAACCGAGUCUUAACUGGGCGUUAAGUUGCAGGGUAUAGACCCGAAACCCGGUGAUCUAGCCAUGGGCAGGUUGAAGGUUGGGUAACACUAACUGGAGGACCGAACCGACUAAUGUUGAAAAAUUAGCGGAUGACUUGUGGCUGGGGGUGAAAGGCCAAUCAAACCGGGAGAUAGCUGGUUCUCCCCGAAAGCUAUUUAGGUAGCGCCUCGUGAAUUCAUCUCCGGGGGGUAGAGCACUGUUUCGGCAAGGGGGUCAUCCCGACUUACCAACCCGAUGCAAACUGCGAAUACCGGAGAAUGUUAUCACGGGAGACACACGGCGGGUGCUAACGUCCGUCGUGAAGAGGGAAACAACCCAGACCGCCAGCUAAGGUCCCAAAGUCAUGGUUAAGUGGGAAACGAUGUGGGAAGGCCCAGACAGCCAGGAUGUUGGCUUAGAAGCAGCCAUCAUUUAAAGAAAGCGUAAUAGCUCACUGGUCGAGUCGGCCUGCGCGGAAGAUGUAACGGGGCUAAACCAUGCACCGAAGCUGCGGCAGCGACGCUGAUGCGUUGUUGGGUAGGGGAGCGUUCUGUAAGCCUGCGAAGGUGUGCUGUGAGGCAUGCUGGAGGUAUCAGAAGUGCGAAUGCUGACAUAAGUAACGAUAAAGCGGGUGAAAAGCCCGCUCGCCGGAAGACCAAGGGUUCCUGUCCAACGUUAAUCGGGGCAGGGUGAGUCGACCCCUAAGGCGAGGCCGAAAGGCGUAGUCGAUGGGAAACAGGUUAAUAUUCCUGUACUUGGUGUUACUGCGAAGGGGGGACGGAGAAGGCUAUGUUGGCCGGGCGACGGUUGUCCCGGUUUAAGCGUGUAGGCUGGUUUUCCAGGCAAAUCCGGAAAAUCAAGGCUGAGGCGUGAUGACGAGGCACUACGGUGCUGAAGCAACAAAUGCCCUGCUUCCAGGAAAAGCCUCUAAGCAUCAGGUAACAUCAAAUCGUACCCCAAACCGACACAGGUGGUCAGGUAGAGAAUACCAAGGCGCUUGAGAGAACUCGGGUGAAGGAACUAGGCAAAAUGGUGCCGUAACUUCGGGAGAAGGCACGCUGAUAUGUAGGUGAAGUCCCUCGCGGAUGGAGCUGAAAUCAGUCGAAGAUACCAGCUGGCUGCAACUGUUUAUUAAAAACACAGCACUGUGCAAACACGAAAGUGGACGUAUACGGUGUGACGCCUGCCCGGUGCCGGAAGGUUAAUUGAUGGGGUUAGCCGCAAGGCGAAGCUCUUGAUCGAAGCCCCGGUAAACGGCGGCCGUAACUAUAACGGUCCUAAGGUAGCGAAAUUCCUUGUCGGGUAAGUUCCGACCUGCACGAAUGGCGUAAUGAUGGCCAGGCUGUCUCCACCCGAGACUCAGUGAAAUUGAACUCGCUGUGAAGAUGCAGUGUACCCGCGGCAAGACGGAAAGACCCCGUGAACCUUUACUAUAGCUUGACACUGAACAUUGAGCCUUGAUGUGUAGGAUAGGUGGGAGGCUUAGAAGUGUGGACGCCAGUCUGCAUGGAGCCGACCUUGAAAUACCACCCUUUAAUGUUUGAUGUUCUAACGUUGACCCGUAAUCCGGGUUGCGGACAGUGUCUGGUGGGUAGUUUGACUGGGGCGGUCUCCUCCUAAAGAGUAACGGAGGAGCACGAAGGUUGGCUAAUCCUGGUCGGACAUCAGGAGGUUAGUGCAAUGGCAUAAGCCAGCUUGACUGCGAGCGUGACGGCGCGAGCAGGUGCGAAAGCAGGUCAUAGUGAUCCGGUGGUUCUGAAUGGAAGGGCCAUCGCUCAACGGAUAAAAGGUACUCCGGGGAUAACAGGCUGAUACCGCCCAAGAGUUCAUAUCGACGGCGGUGUUUGGCACCUCGAUGUCGGCUCAUCACAUCCUGGGGCUGAAGUAGGUCCCAAGGGUAUGGCUGUUCGCCAUUUAAAGUGGUACGCGAGCUGGGUUUAGAACGUCGUGAGACAGUUCGGUCCCUAUCUGCCGUGGGCGCUGGAGAACUGAGGGGGGCUGCUCCUAGUACGAGAGGACCGGAGUGGACGCAUCACUGGUGUUCGGGUUGUCAUGCCAAUGGCACUGCCCGGUAGCUAAAUGCGGAAGAGAUAAGUGCUGAAAGCAUCUAAGCACGAAACUUGCCCCGAGAUGAGUUCUCCCUGACUCCUUGAGAGUCCUGAAGGAACGUUGAAGACGACGACGUUGAUAGGCCGGGUGUGUAAGCGCAGCGAUGCGUUGAGCUAACCGGUACUAAUGAACCGUGAGGCUUAACCUU